UUUUGUUUUUUGAAACAGGGCUUCUCUGUGUAGCCCUGGCUGUCCUGGAACUUAUUCUGUAGACCAGGCUGGCCUCAAAUUCUUGAGAUCAGCCUGCCUAUGUCCCCGACCCCAUGCUGGGAUUAAAAGCAUGUACUGCCACCACCACCUGGCUAAUGGGUUUUUUCUUAAUUAAAAUUUAAAAAGUACUGUAUAGACUUUGAAGUCCUCAAAGGAGUAAGGAAGGUCUUGCCCUGCUUCUGACCCUUGUAUAUUUCUUGAAUGUGUUUUCAGAUUUUUAGACAUCCCAGUUUUAGGUAAGGGUAGCUCCACCUGUCACUUCAUAGUUCACCAUUCUCUCCACAGCAGUCAAGGCCACAGCUCUGACCAGACGGCAUGUAUCUCAGAAUCUACACUUCCAGAAAUGUUCUGAUGCUACCAGCCCAGGACCACUCAUGCUCCUUGUGCCAUGGCUUUGUGAACCAGCCUUUUCAUCCUGCACAGAUCUUUGAAAUAUACCACAUGCAUGAAGAUCCAAGGUGUUAGAUCUCCUAGCUAGAGUUCUACACCAGUGCUCUUAACCACUGAACAUCCCUCCAGCCUGCCCUGGGUUUUAAGAUACUGCCCAGGUCUUCUCCACAGUUGUAACCAUCUGUACUUCUGCCAUGUCACAUUCUACACUGUUAGCUCAAACCUGCAAGUCAGUAUAGUUCUGCAUCAUCAACCGCAUUAAUUAGUGGCCAAAGCAGUUUUUCGAAUCAAAACAAUUGGAUUUUGCUACAUUUCAAAUUUGUUAUUCAGUAACUGAACAGCAGUAGUUAUGUUUAAAUGGAUGAGUGUUUUGCCUGCAUACAUAUCUGUGUAAGACUUCUGUGUCUGGUGCCUGCAAAGGCUAGAAGAGGGGCAUCAGACCUGGGACUGGAGUUACACAUGGUUGUGAACCACCCAUGUGGGUGCUGGAAAUGAAGCCCGGGUUCUCAGGAAGAGCAGCCAGUGCUCUCAACCACUGAGCCAGCUCUCAAUCCCCCAGGCAGUCAUUUUUUUUAUAUAAGCAGGCUGGUUGUGGUGGGACAAGCCUGUGAUCCCAGAGGCAGAAUGAUUCUAGAUUACUUAGUAACUGUCUCACAAAACAAACAUACAUACCUAGACUAGAAGCAUAAAGGUGUGCAGGGCAAGGUAGCUCACACCACUAAUCCUAGCACUCAGAAGGCAGAGUUCUCUUGAGUUCAAGACCAGCCUGGUCUAUAUAAAGAAAGAGUUCCUAUCGCAAAGAAAAAAGAAAAAAUCUUUUCACUAAAGCCAUUUGGAAGUAUAUUUCUGUCAUUCUGCCUGAAGGCUGAAGCAUGAGAAAACUGCCCUUUUGCAACUAUGGGUUAAAAAGAAAAGAAAAAGAAAGUCAGUAGGAGGGUGCCGCAGGAGAGAUGGUUCAGUUUCCAGCACCCUACAGGGUGACUCACAACCACCUCCAGCUCCAGGGAAUCCAGUGCCCUCUCUGGCCUCAAAGGACACUGCACUCAUAUGCUAGUGUACCAUUUAAAUAAAAAUAAAAUAUUCAGGAGUCAAGUGUGAUGCUGCUUGCCUUUAAUUCUAGCACUUGGGAAGCAGAGGCAGGCAGAUCUCUGAGUUCCAGGUCAUCCAGAGCUACACAGUAAUACUAUUUCAAAAAAAGAGAGACCAUCCCACCAUCUUUCUCCAAAUGAAAGCCAUUUCCAGUAAUCAUUUAAAUAUAAACAAAAGACUGUUAAAAUGUUACUUUUAUUGAACUCACCUGAGUUAAGUGUGGGACAAUGAAACAAGUACAUGUUUUUAUUUAUAUGGAUAUAUACAGCAUGUCAAGGAGGCAGCCUUUCAAAAACAUGCUAUGGAAAAGAGGAAGACUGACAAUAUGCCUGAAUUAACAGAAGCUCUGGAUACUGAUUAACCCAUAUGCAAAUCCAGUAAUCUCCAAAGGAUUUGGCAAAGAUGUAUUUUCUUUUCAUUUCCAGUCUUUUAAAGUAAGACAGAUUUGCUUACAAUACAGCUGAUUUUAAAAGCACACAAAAUUUAACUACAAACAAUAGGAUUAAAUGCAGCAGAGUGGAGAAGGUGCCAGCAACAAAACUGACAACCCAAGGCGGUGAUGGCAGACAAUGAGGCUGCACAGUGGGGUUUGUGGAUAAUUUUAGCUUCGCCUGGCUGUUUAAUUCACAUAGUAAGAGGUCUUUACAGACACACCUGUUUAAUUAACUACAUUUGUAUUUUCUACUAUGUAAUAGGAUUAUAAGGCCACAAUAUUCCUUUGGGACAAACCCUUUAAUGAUUUUAAUAUCACUUACUCAUUCUUUUGAAGUGUAAAGUGUCUUAACUGGAUUAUGAUUAUAGAUCAUUUUUAAAUACACCAUUGCUACUAUAUUAAAAUUAUUUAUACUAUUUAUAUCUAAUAUUCAAAGAAAAUUUACUAAUAAAUGCUACAAUAGGUAUCAGUCUGACAUGCUCAUUAAUUGAUCCCAUAGGUAUAAUUAUAGGUCAUGAUAUUAGUCUAUUCUGUCUAACUAAAUCAGGAACACUGCAUUUACAGAA